AUAUGGGCCAUUAUUUUGUUCAAAAAAAUAAUAUAGUUUGAAGUUUUUGCAUGUUUAUGUUGUUUUUUGCGAGUAUCCCACUUUGUUUGACAGUCCAUGAACACACCAUUGUACGUGCGCUAGCCUUCUCCCACUCUGCACAGAUUGUCAACUAUACUGUAUUUUUAUCGGAUUUUUUUCACUUCAUAUUUGCUCCCAAAUGCUGAUACCCUGUGGGAAUGCAUAAAGGGCUUGAAUCAUGUCAGGGUCGAGUGCUGUGCUGACCAACAUCUCCACGUAGCUCCUGAACAUCUCCCUCAUUGCCCGGUUGUUGACUCCAACCCGCAGAGGUCCUGAAAUAAAUCAAGAAUUCCCGCUGAGCUCAUGAACUGUGCUAAAGUUGGGGAUGGAUCCAGUGAGAUGCUGACCUUCAUCUUCACUGGGAGUUCCGGACUUUGUAGUUGUAGAAAGGGUUGCUGAGAAGUCUACCAAGAAAGAACCUUUGGUCCCUUGCCGAAGCUUCGAAAGCCCACUGAAGGCCCAGGUACCAAAUGCACCACCUGCCACAACUGGAACACCAGUGUCACAGUCCACAGUGAAGCCAGUUUUACAUCUUCAUAGACUGAGGAGAUGCCAACCAAGAACAAAGCCCCUGCUCUGAAAUUUCCAGCCCACAUUGUUAAGCCAGAUGCCUUCUGGACAGACGUUUGAUGGUGAGACGAGCUCAAGAUGAAGCUAUUUGGACCUAACGACAAGAAGUAUGUUUGGAGGAGUCAAGGUGAGGCUUUCAAACUUAAAAACACUGUAGCAAAUGUGGUAACAUCAUGCUUUGGAGCUGUUUUCCUACCUGUAGUACUGAUGCACUACACAAAGAACAACCUGUGAUGUCAAAUAACAAGGCAAAUGUGAGAUACAAGCUCUGAUUACAACUUUUUGAUAGUUUUACCACAAGCUAACAAAAUAUUAUCAUAUUAACAAUGGCGGCAUGGGCUAGGCAUACUCGGCCAUGAAAAUCUACCACUGGAUGCUGACCACUAGGGGGAGUGAAAAAACAAGCUGUCAUUCAUGCAUUCAUUCAUUUUACAGCAGGGGUCUCAAACGCACUUCAACUGGGGGCCACUGGAGGUAGAGUCUGGCUGCAUCAAGUAUUCAGUCACGUUUCAACCAAGCACACUCACUCACAAACGCAUUCCCCGUGACUGGGGUGAUGCCGGACUGUGGAACUUGUUUUGUAAAAAGUUACUAAAGUUAUGUGUUUUGAGUGAACAAAGUUGUUAUUUAUUAUUCCCCAAAGUAGUAUUAGUUGCCGUUUGUGUGUUGUGUGUGUGUUUACUGACCUGUUACAUGUUGUGCUGUCAUUUUUGUCUUAGCACUGUGAUUGGAGUGUUCGGAGUGAUCGGAGUGUUCUCUCUCGUGACGCCUCUGUUCAUUUGUGAGUAACAAUCUCAGUGCGAGUUCAGUGAUAGCUAUUGCUGGCCCAACUAAAGAGUCGCUUCCUUUAUGCAAGCUCACCAUCUCCCCAGGGUGUGUGGGGCCGCACCUACACUAAACUCCGAUGUUAACUCGGGGGCCACAAAAUAUGGCCCGCAGUUUAUUUGCGGCCAAUGAGCUUGGGACCCCUGUUUCAUAGCAUUGUUGAUCCUACUCGGAGUCAAGGGUGAGGUGAAGCUUAGCUAACCUUGGGUGAGAGAUGGGCUACACUCUGGACUAGUCGCCAAUAUGAUUUCACUCCACACGUAGAAGGCCAAGUCAGAUUAGAACCCCAGAACCUUCUGGCUGUGAGACAGAGAUGCUAACCACACUUCCACCAUCCAGUCAAUAGGCUCUGAUGAUUAAUCUAUGACUGACUGGCAAUAUUUGUAUUGUAAUACUUCACAUCAAAACCCACAAACAGAAAAUAAAUACAAAUAUGUUAAUUGGCGAUAUAGUAAUUGCCUCCGCAACCAUUCAUCUAAACGUUUAAAUGAUUAAUACUUAUUUCUCAUCACUGCUACACCACUACACACAUAGUACUGCAGACAGUUCGGCCACUUUUCUUUUCAUAUUGGUAAUAAAACUUGACGGCAGGUGGCAGCAAGGAUCCUGCGCUGAAAAUACAGUAACCAUGGCAACGGCUGCCCUGGAUGAAAUCAUGAAGGAGGAGGACUGCUUCCAAAUUAUUCAACGUCACCUGAAAUCAUCAGCUAGAUAGCGGCAACUUGGACACAGAUGUGUAACAUCCAAACACAUCAAAACCGCUUUUGGAAUGGAUAAAGCAGGCUAAACAUGAAGCUUCUGGAACACCCUUCUCAAAGACCCGAGUUAAACUCGUGUGGACUAUGCUUGAAAGGUAGUCCAUGCGCAUGACCAAAAACUGGACUUUGUCCGGCCAAGAUGAUUGGUGACAUAUCCAGCCAGACUUAUGCCUCAAGCUUACUGGUGGCUACAAGAAGCAAGAUGAAACAUGGCUAAGGGAUAAUUAGCCAAAUAUUAGUAGGUGUAUAUGUAUAGAUUUGAUCCUGUGUGAAUUAGACACAAUUCUAUUCAAUUUUUUUUUUUUUUUUUUUAAAUCAUUCAAUACCUAAGACGUAGUUAUACAUUUUUAUAAACCCGAACACAUACUUGUAGAAAGAUCAGUCAAAAUCAGUCAAUGGCCGGUACUGAAGGGCUUGUCUUUUGAAAAAUGGCUGGGAUUGAAUGAGUUAAAUAUCAUUCAAGAUGGAGAAAAACAUUGGUUCAAAUAAAUCAUUA